rnacentral:rRNA from 1 species
GAUGAACGCUAGCUACAGGCUUAACACAUGCAAGUCGAGGGGCAGCAUUAUCUUAGCUUGCUAAGAUAGAUGGCGACCGGCGCACGGGUGAGUAACACGUAUCCAACCUUCCGGUUACUCGGGGAUAGGCUUUCGAAAGAAAGAUUAAUACCCGAUGUUGCGUAUCUUUCUCCUGAAAGAUACGCCAAAGGAUUCCGGUAACCGAUGGGGAUGCGUUCCAUUAGGCAGUUGGCGGGGUAACGGCCCACCAAACCUUCGAUGGAUAGGGGUUCUGAGAGGAAGGUCCCCCACAUUGGAACUGAGACACGGUCCAAACUCCUACGGGAGGCAGCAGUGAGGAAUAUUGGUCAAUGGACGGAAGUCUGAACCAGCCAAGUAGCGUGAAGGAUGACUGCCCUCUGGGUUGUAAACUUCUUUUAUACGGGAAUAACAUGAGGUACGCGUACCUUAUUGCAUGUACCGUUAUGAAUAAGCAUCGGCUAACUCCGUGCCAGCAGCCGCGGUAAUACGGAGGAUGCGAGCGUUAUCCGGAUUUAUUGGGUUUAAAGGGAGCGUAGGUGGGAUAUUAAGUCAGCUGUGAAAGUUUGGGGCUCAACCUUAAAAUUGCAGUUGAUACUGGUUUCCUUGAGUACGGUACAGGUGGGCGGAAUUCGUGGUGUAGCGGGUGAAAAUGCUUAUAUAUCACGAAGAACUCCGAUCGCGAAGGCAGCUCACCGGGGCCGGAACUGACACUGAUGCUCGAAAGUGCGGGUAUCAAACAGG